rnacentral:rRNA from 1 species
GGGUUGUGAGGUUAAGCGACUAAGCGUACACGGUGGAUGCCCUGGCAGUCAGAGGCGAUGAAGGACGUGCUAAUCUGCGAUAAGCGUCGGUAAGGUGAUAUGAACCGUUAUAACCGGCGAUUUCCGAAUGGGGAAACCCAGUGUGUUUCGACACACUAUCAUUAACUGAAUCCAUAGGUUAAUGAGGCGAACCGGGGGAACUGAAACAUCUAAGUACCCCGAGGAAAAGAAAUCAACCGAGAUUCCCCCAGUAGCGGCGAGCGAACGGGGAGCAGCCCAGAGCCUGAAUCAGUGUGUGUGUUAGUGGAAGCGUCUGGAAAGGCGCGCGAUACAGGGUGACAGCCCCGUACACAAAAAUGCACAUGCUGUGAGCUCGAUGAGUAGGGCGGGACACGUGGUAUCCUGUCUGAAUAUGGGGGGACCAUCCUCCAAGGCUAAAUACUCCUGACUGACCGAUAGUGAACCAGUACCGUGAGGGAAAGGCGAAAAGAACCCCGGCGAGGGGAGUGAAAAAGAACCUGAAACCGUGUACGUACAAGCAGUGGGAGCACGCUUAGGCGUGUGACUGCGUACCUUUUGUAUAAUGGGUCAGCGACUUAUAUUCUGUAGCAAGGUUAACCGAAUAGGGGAGCCGAAGGGAAACCGAGUCUUAACUGGGCGUUAAGUUGCAGGGUAUAGACCCGAAACCCGGUGAUCUAGCCAUGGGCAGGUUGAAGGUUGGGUAACACUAACUGGAGGACCGAACCGACUAAUGUUGAAAAAUUAGCGGAUGACUUGUGGCUGGGGGUGAAAGGCCAAUCAAACCGGGAGAUAGCUGGUUCUCCCCGAAAGCUAUUUAGGUAGCGCCUCGUGAAUUCAUCUCCGGGGGUAGAGCACUGUUUCGGCAAGGGGGUCAUCCCGACUUACCAACCCGAUGCAAACUGCGAAUACCGGAGAAUGUUAUCACGGGAGACACACGGCGGGUGCUAACGUCCGUCGUGAAGAGGGAAACAACCCAGACCGCCAGCUAAGGUCCCAAAGUCAUGGUUAAGUGGGAAACGAUGUGGGAAGGCCCAGACAGCCAGGAUGUUGGCUUAGAAGCAGCCAUCAUUUAAAGAAAGCGUAAUAGCUCACUGGUCGAGUCGGCCUGCGCGGAAGAUGUAACGGGGCUAAACCAUGCACCGAAGCUGCGGCAGCGACGCUUAUGCGUUGUUGGGUAGGGGAGCGUUCUGUAAGCCUGCGAAGGUGUGCUGUGAGGCAUGCUGGAGGUAUCAGAAGUGCGAAUGCUGACAUAAGUAACGAUAAAGCGGGUGAAAAGCCCGCUCGCCGGAAGACCAAGGGUUCCUGUCCAACGUUAAUCGGGGCAGGGUGAGUCGACCCCUAAGGCGAGGCCGAAAGGCGUAGUCGAUGGGAAACAGGUUAAUAUUCCUGUACUUGGUGUUACUGCGAAGGGGGGACGGAGAAGGCUAUGUUGGCCGGGCGACGGUUGUCCCGGUUUAAGCGUGUAGGCUGGUUUUCCAGGCAAAUCCGGAAAAUCAAGGCUGAGGCGUGAUGACGAGGUACUACGGUGCUGAAGCAACAAAUGCCCUGCUUCCAGGAAAAGCCUCUAAGCAUCAGGUAACAUCAAAUCGUACCCCAAACCGACACAGGUGGUCAGGUAGAGAAUACCAAGGCGCUUGAGAGAACUCGGGUGAAGGAACUAGGCAAAAUGGUGCCGUAACUUCGGGAGAAGGCACGCUGAUAUGUAGGUGAAGUCCCUUGCGGAUGGAGCUGAAAUCAGUCGAAGAUACCAGCUGGCUGCAACUGUUUAUUAAAAACACAGCACUGUGCAAACACGAAAGUGGACGUAUACGGUGUGACGCCUGCCCGGUGCCGGAAGGUUAAUUGAUGGGGUUAGCGGUAACGCGAAGCUCUUGAUCGAAGCCCCGGUAAACGGCGGCCGUAACUAUAACGGUCCUAAGGUAGCGAAAUUCCUUGUCGGGUAAGUUCCGACCUGCACGAAUGGCGUAAUGAUGGCCAGGCUGUCUCCACCCGAGACUCAGUGAAAUUGAACUCGCUGUGAAGAUGCAGUGUACCCGCGGCAAGACGGAAAGACCCCGUGAACCUUUACUAUAGCUUGACACUGAACAUUGAGCCUUGAUGUGUAGGAUAGGUGGGAGGCUUUGAAGUGUGGACGCCAGUCUGCAUGGAGCCGACCUUGAAAUACCACCCUUUAAUGUUUGAUGUUCUAACGUUGACCCGUGAUCCGGGUUGCGGACAGUGUCUGGUGGGUAGUUUGACUGGGGCGGUCUCCUCCUAAAGAGUAACGGAGGAGCACGAAGGUUGGCUAAUCCUGGUCGGACAUCAGGAGGUUAGUGCAAUGGCAUAAGCCAGCUUGACUGCGAGCGUGACGGCGCGAGCAGGUGCGAAAGCAGGUCAUAGUGAUCCGGUGGUUCUGAAUGGAAGGGCCAUCGCUCAACGGAUAAAAGGUACUCCGGGGAUAACAGGCUGAUACCGCCCAAGAGUUCAUAUCGACGGCGGUGUUUGGCACCUCGAUGUCGGCUCAUCACAUCCUGGGGCUGAAGUAGGUCCCAAGGGUAUGGCUGUUCGCCAUUUAAAGUGGUACGCGAGCUGGGUUUAGAACGUCGUGAGACAGUUCGGUCCCUAUCUGCCGUGGGCGCUGGAGAACUGAGGGGGGCUGCUCCUAGUACGAGAGGACCGGAGUGGACGCAUCACUGGUGUUCGGGUUGUCAUGCCAAUGGCACUGCCCGGUAGCUAAAUGCGGAAGAGAUAAGUGCUGAAAGCAUCUAAGCACGAAACUUGCCCCGAGAUGAGUUCUCCCUGACCCUUUAAGGGUCCUGAAGGAACGUUGAAGACGACGACGUUGAUAGGCCGGGUGUGUAAGCGCAGCGAUGCGUUGAGCUAACCGGUACUAAUGAACCGUGAGGCUUAACCUUACAACGCCGAAGGUGUUU